rnacentral:rRNA from 1 species
UACGUAGGGUCCAAGCGUUGUCCGGAUUUAUUGGGCGUAAAGAGCUCGUAGGCGGUUUCGUAAGUCGGAUGUGAAAACUCAGGGCUCAACCCGGAGACGCCAUCUGAUACUGCGAUGACUUGAGUCUGGUAGGGGAACACGGAAUUCCUGGUGUAGCGGUGAAAUGCGCAGAUAUCAGGAGGAACACCGAUGGCGAAGGCAGUGUUCUGGGCCAGUACUGACGCUGAGGAGCGAAAGCGUGGGGAGCGAACAGG